UCUAGAUGUCCUCAGCCACCCAGCUUUGUGCAAAGACUGUAGACAUAGUAACAGCCUGGCUUCCAAUGAGCCCUAGUAAACCAACAGUGUGUUAACACAUUCUAAAACUGGUUUUAGUAUCAGAAACUAAGUUAAUUGAUAUUUCCAUUGAAUAAAGGAAGCUAUAGAAAUAUGUUCAGGUAUUUAUCGAAAACAGCCCACUGUGUCCCUCUGCGGGUGGUCACAUAGAAAUUGAACAUUUACUCAUGAGAAUGCCAAAAAGGAAUUAUUAAUAAAAGCAAGCCUUGAAUUGAACACAAAUUAUAUUUAAAAUUUUUUUCAGCUAAAAACAG
rnacentral:lncRNA from 1 species